rnacentral:rRNA from 1 species
GACGAACGCUGGCGGCGUGCCUAAUACAUGCAAGUCGAACGCAGUGGGGACGGGUGAUUGACACGUGGGUAACCUCCCAUCAGAGGGGAUAACACUUGGAUACAGGUGCUAAACCGAUACUGAUGGAUGGACCCGCGGGGCAUUAGCUAGUUGGUGAGGUAACGGCGCACCAAGGCCACGAUGCAUAGCCGGCCUGAGAGGAUGAUCGGCCACACUGGGACUGAGACACGGCCCAGACUCCUACGGGAGGCAGCAGUAGGGAAUAUUCGGCAAUGGACGAAAGUCUGAUGGAGCAACGCCGCGUGAGUGAAGAAGGUUUUCGGAUCGUAAAGCUCUGUUGGUAGGGAGGCGGUAUCUAAACAGAAAGCAACGGCUAACUCCGUGCCAGCAGCCGCGGUAAUAC